rnacentral:rRNA from 1 species
GAUGAACGCUGGCGGCGUGCCUAAUACAUGCAAGUCGAACGAAGAUCUAGCUUGCUAGAUCUUAGUGGCGAACGGGUGAGUAAUACAUAAAUAAUCUGCCCAUAUGACUGGGAUAACUAUUGGAAACGAUAGCUAAUACCGGAUAGGUUGAUUGGAGGCAUCUCUGAUUAAUUAAAGUAGGAUUUCUACACAAAUGGAUGAGUUUAUGGCGCAUUAGUUAGUUGGUGGGGUAACGGCCUACCAAGACGAUGAUGCGUAGCCGACCUGGGAGGGUGACCGGCCACACUGGGACUGAGACACGGCCCAGACUCCUACGGGAGGCAGCAGUAGGGAAUUUUCGGCAAUGGGCGCAAGCCUGACCGAGCAACGCCGCGUGAGUGAUUAAGGCCUUCGGGUUGUAAAGCUCUGUUGUAAGGGAAGAACAUUCAGGAUAGGAAAUGAUCUUGAACUGACGGUACCUUACCAGAAAGCCACGACUAACUACGUGCCAGCAGCCGCCGCGG